rnacentral:rRNA from 1 species
UACGUAGGGACCAAGCGUUGUUCGGAUUUACUGGGCGUAAAGGGCGCGUAGGCGGCAAUUCAAGUCAGUUGUGAAAUCUCCGAGCUUAACUCGGAACGGUCAACUGAUACUGCUUUGCUAGAGUACAGAAGGGGUAAUCGGAAUUCUUGGUGUAGCGGUGAAAUGCGUAGAUAUCAAGAGGAACACCUGAGGUGAAGACGGGUUGCUGGGCUGAUACUGACGCUGAGGCGCGAAAGCUAGGGUAGCAAACGGG